CCUCUGCCAGCGCGGGUUGCCCCCCACCCUCCCGCGCUUGGCUAGGGGCCGCAGCCCCCCUGGGCUCCUAGUGCCCAGGGGGGCUCCGAUCCUCGCACGAUAGGUGCCACGUGCGCGCAAAGCCUAUCUUCCUGGAGCAGCAGGCGACGACCGACACGGAGGCCAGGAGCAGGCGGUGGUGGCGAGAAUCGGGCGCAUGGCGUCCUCCAGGUCCUCCAGCACUUAGUCUUAAAUUAAGACGUGUCUAGGAUGACAAGUUAAUUUAAACUACCAUGGAAAGAGAAAAGAAAUGGGCACCACUGACCAUGGAAAGCAGUACCUAUACUACUCAGGGUUGUAAUGACAUAAUACCAAGAAAUAAAGACUCUGGAAAACUGACCUUUCACCUAUGGAAGAUAUGAACACCUUGAGGGUAGGGGUACAAGGCGAAGCUUUCACCAGCUCCCUAUGGGACCUGAGAAGAUCCUAUGGUUAAGUGGAAGAAUUUGGACCCACCUGCUAAGGGAAUUUCAAUUUAGACCUGGAAGAUUCUAGAAGACAUAGUUUGGCUCCAGAUAGAGAAGAAAUGAAAGAGGGAAGCUGAAAGCAGCUCUCAGUACCAUCCCUAAGCUAGGCUCUGGAACCCCUUCUGGAAGCAAGGCCAGCACCAGAACCUCUCUGACAAGUCAAUAACUCAGGCCCAGAUGGGAUACCUCUCUUGUCACUUCAGCAAGAUGAAGCCAGCCUGCUGGGAAAGUAGCCUGGUUUGACAAGCUACACUGCUAUGGUUUCAGGAAGCAGGUAACACAGGCCAGCUUUGGCCCAACGUAUAUCAGCUUGUUUUCUGUACAAUGCUAUAUCCCAACUUGCUUGACUACCAAGACCCAAGGAGCAAAAGUAUCCUAACAUUUUUCCUUCUUAUGUUUAAUUUUUUUUCCCCUGAAGACAAAUUAAAGAGGAGUAAAGGGAAACUUCUAAAAUUUUUAAUU